rnacentral:rRNA from 1 species
AGGAUAGAGGCCUACCAUGGUGGUAACGGGUAACGGGGUGUUAGGGCACGACACCGGAGAGGGAGCCUGAGAAACGGCUACCACAUCCAAGGAUGGCAGCAGGCGCGCAAAUUACCCAAUCCCGACACGGGGAGGUAGUGACAAUAAAUAACAAUACGGGGUUCUUUAGGAUCUCGUAAUUGGAAUGAGUACAAUUUAAAUCUCUUAACGAGGAACAAUUGGAGGGCAAGUCUGGUGCCAGCAGUCGCGGUAAUUCCAGCUCCAAUAGCGUAUAUUAAAGUUGUUGCAGUUAAAAAGCUCGUAGUUGAAUUUCGGGGUUAGUAGGUUGGUCAUGCCUCUGGUAUGUACUGGUCUCACUGAUUCCUCCUUCCUUAUGAACCGUAAUGCCAUUAAUUUGGUGUUGCGGGGAAUUUGGACUGUUACUUUGAAAAAAUUAGAGUGUUUAAAGCAAGCUAACGCUUGAAUACAUUAGCAUGGAAUAAUGAAAUAGGACGUUCGAUCUUAUUUUGUUGGUUUCUAGGAUUGACGUAAUGAUUAAUAGGGAUAGUUGGGGGCAUUAGUAUUCAAUUGUCAGAGGUGAAAUUCUUGGAUUUAUUGAAGACUAACUACUGCGAAAGCAUUUGCCAAGGAUGUAUUCAUUAAUCAAGAACGAAAGUUAGGGGAUCGAAGACGAUCAGAUACCGUCGUAGUCUUAACCAUAAACUAUGCCGACUAGGGAUCGGAUGA